rnacentral:rRNA from 1 species
GACAGAGGAUGCAAGCGUUAUCCGGAAUGAUUGGGCGUAAAGCGUCUGUAGGUGGCUUUUCAAGUCCGCCGUCAAAUCCCAGGGCUCAACCCCGGGUCGGCCGUGCGAACUGUCGAGCUGGAGCACUGUAGAGGCAGGUGGAAUUCCGGGUGUAGCGGUGGAUGCGUAGAGAUCCGGAAGAACACCGGUGGCGAAGGCGGAUCUCUGGGCCGUAACUGACGCUGAGGAGCGAAAGCUGGGGAGCGAACAGG